rnacentral:rRNA from 1 species
UCAUAAUCAGUGAAAACGAGUAGGGCGGGACACGUGAUAUCCUGUCUGAAUAUGGGGGGACCAUCCUCCAAGGCUAAAUACUACUGACUGACCGAUAGUGAACCAGUACCGUGAGGGAAAGGCGAAAAGAACCCCUGUGAGGGGAGUGAAAUAGAACCUGAAACCGUGUACGUACAAGCAGUAGGAGCACCUUCGUGGUGUGACUGCGUACCUUUUGUAUAAUGGGUCAGCGACUUAAUUUUAGUAGCAAGGUUAACCGUUUAGGGGAGCCGUAGGGAAACCGAGUCUUAACUGGGCGUACAGUUGCUAGGAUUAGACCCGAAACCAGGUGAUCUAGCCAUGGGCAGGUUGAAGGUUGAGUAACAUCAACUGGAGGACCGAACCGACUAAUGUUGAAAAAUUAGCGGAUGACUUGUGGCUAGGGGUGAAAGGCCAAUCAAACCUGGAGAUAGCUGGUUCUCCCCGAAAGCUAUUUAGGUAGCGCCUCGGACGAAUACUACUGGGGGUAGAGCACUGUUAAGGCUAGGGGGUCAUCCCGACUUACCAACCCUUUGCAAACUCCGAAUACCAGUAAGUACUAUCCGGGAGACACACGGCGGGUGCUAACGUCCGUCGUGGAGAGGGAAACAACCCAGACCGCCAGCUAAGGUCCCAAAGUAUAGCUAAGUGGGAAACGAUGUGGGAAGGCUCAGACAGCCAGGAUGUUGGCUUAGAAGCAGCCAUCAUUUAAAGAAAGCGUAAUAGCUCACUGGUCGAGUCGGCCUGCGCGGAAGAUGUAACGGGGCUAAGCUAUACACCGAAGCUGCGGCUACGUACCUUAGGGUAUGUGGGGUAGGGGAGCGUUCUGUAAGCCGUUGAAGGUGGUCUGUAAGGGCUGCUGGAGGUAUCAGAAGUGCGAAUGCUGACAUGAGUAACGAUAAAGGGAGUGAAAAACUCCCUCGCCGGAAGACCAAGGGUUCCUGUCCAACGUUAAUCGGGGCAGGGUAAGUCGACUCCUAAGGCGAGGCCGAAAGGCGUAGUCGAUGGGAAACGGGUUAAUAUUCCCGUACUUCUUACAAUUGCGAUGGGGGGACGGAGAAGGCUAGGUGGGCCUGGCGACGGUUGUCCAGGUUCAAGUACGUAGGCGGAAAGUUUAGGUAAAUCCGGACUUUC